rnacentral:rRNA from 1 species
UGGGGAAUAUUGCACAAUGGGCGAAAGCCUGAUGCAGCAACGCCGCGUGAGCGAUGAAGGCCUUUGGGUCGUAAAGCUCUGUCCUAGGGGACGAACAAAAUGACGGUACCCUUGGAGGAAGCCCCGGCUAACUACGUGCCAGCAGCCGCGGUAAUACGUAGGGGGCGAGCGUUAUCCGGAAUUAUUGGGCGUAAAGAGUACGUAGGUGGUCUUUUAAGCGCAGGGUUUAAGGCAAUGGCUUAACUAUUGUUCGCCCUGUGAACUGGGAGACUUGAGUGCAGGAGAGGAAAGCGGAAUUCCUAGUGUAGCGGUGAAAUGCGUAGAUAUUAGGAGGAACACCAGUGGCGAAGGCGGCUUUCUGGACUGUAACUGACACUGAGGUACGAAAGCGUGGGGAGCAAACAGG